rnacentral:rRNA from 1 species
UUAAAUUGAAGAGUUUGAUCAUGGCUCAGAUUGAAUGCUGGCGGCAGGCCUAACACAUGCAAGUCGAACGGUAACAGGAAACAGCUUGCUGUUUCGCUGACGAGUGGCGGACGGGUGAGUAAUGUCUGGGAAACUGCCUGAUGGAGGGGG